UAWACGACUCUCGGCAACGGAUAUCUCGGCUCUCGCAUCGAUGAAGAACGUAGCGAAAUGCGAUACUUGGUGUGAAUUGCAGAAUCCCGUGAACCAUCGAGUCUUUGAACGCAAGUUGCKCCCGAAGCCGUUAGGCCGAGGGCACGUCUGCCUGGGCGUCACA
rnacentral:rRNA from 1 species